AGAGUUUGAUCAUGGCUCAGAUUGAACGCUGGCGGCAUGCCUUACACAUGCAAGUCGAGCGGCAGCGCGGGGGCAACCCUGGCGGCGAGCGGCGCACGGGUGAGUAAUGCAUCGGAACGUGUCCUCUUGUGGGGGAUAACCAGUCGAAAGACUGGCUAAUACCGCAUGAGAUCGAGAGAUGAAAGCAGGGGACCCGCAAGGCCUUGCGCGAGAGGAGCGGCCGAUGCCCGAUUAGCUAGUUGGUGGGGUAAAAGCCUACCAAGGCGACGAUCGGUAGCUGGUUUGAGAGAACGACCAGCCACACUGGGACUGAGACACGGCCCAGACUCCUACGGGAGGCAGCAGUGGGGAAUUUUGGACAAUGGGGGCAACCCUGAUCCAGCCAUGCCGCGUGUGUGAAGAAGGCCUUCGGGUUGUAAAGCACUUUCGGCCGGAACGAAGUCGCACUGGUGAAUAUCCAGUGUGGAUGACGGUACCGGAAGAAGAAGCACCGGCUAACUACGUGCCAGCAGCCGCGGUAAUACGUAGGGUGCGAGCGUUAAUCGGAAUUACUGGGCGUAAAGUGUGCGCAGGCGGUCUCGCAAGUCAAGUGUGAAAGCCCCGGGCUUAACCUGGGAACUGCGCUUGAAACUACGAGACUCGAGUGUGGCAGAGGAAGGUGGAAUUCCCGUGUAGCGGUGAAAUGCGUAGAGAUGUGGAGGAACACCGAUGGCGAAGGCAGCCUUCUGGGCCAACACUGACGCUCAUGCACGAAAGCGUGGGGAGCAAACAGGAUUAGAUACCCUAGUAGUCC
rnacentral:rRNA from 1 species